rnacentral:rRNA from 1 species
GACGAACGCUGGCGGCGUGCUUAACACAUGCAAGUCGAACGAAGUGGCGAACGGGUGAGUAACGCGUAAUCAACCUGCCCUUCAGAGGGGGACACCAGUUGGAAACGACUGCUAAUACCGCAUACUGAAGGAGGGGAUUGCGUCUGAUUAGCUAGUUGGCGGGGUAACGGCCCACCAAGGCGAUGAUGCAUAGCCGAGCGGAGAGGGGGAUCGGCCACACUGGAACUGAGACACGGUCCAGACGCCUACGGGAGGCAGCAGUAGGGAAUCUUCCGCAAUGGGCGAAAGCCUGACGGAGCAACGCCGCGGGAGUGAUGACGGCCUUCGGGUUGUAAAGCUCUGUUAAUCGGGACGCGGUACCGGAAUAGAAAGCCACGGCUAACUACGUGCCAGCAGCCGCGGUAAUUC